GAUGAACGCUAGCGGCAGGCUUAAUACAUGCAAGUCGUGGGGCAGCAGGACUGUAGCAAUACAGUUGCUGGCGACCGGCAAACGGGUGCGGAACACGUACGCAACUUACCCUGAACUGAGGGAUAGCCCGGGGAAACCCGGACUAAUACCCCGUAAUAUAAUGGAGUGGCAUCACUUUAUUAUUAACGCCCCGGCGGUUCGGGACGGGCGUGCGGCUGAUUAGGUAGUUGGUUGAGGUAACGACUCACCAAGCCUACGUUCAGUAACUGGUGCGAGAGCACGACCAGUCACGGGGGCACUGAGAAGCUGUCCCGACUCCUACGGGAGGCAGCAGUAAGGAGUAUUGGGCAAUGGAGGCUACUCUGACCCAGCCAUGCCGCGUGGAGGAUGAGGUCCCUAUGGGUUGUAAACUUCUUUGAUAGGAGACGAAACCUGUGUAUUCUUACGUAGUUGACGGUACCCUAGGAAUAAGCACCGGCUAACUCCGUG
rnacentral:rRNA from 1 species